rnacentral:rRNA from 1 species
UAGGCUUGAUAUCCCAAGAAUCUUUCAGAGAUGAGAGAGUGCUAGUUUACUAGAGCUUGGUGACAGGUGCUGCACGGCCGUCGUCAGCUCGUGUCGUGAGAUGUUGGGUUAAGUCCCGCAACGAGCGCAACCCCUGUUGUUAGUUACUAACAGUUCGGCUGAGAACUCUAACAAGACUGCCUUCGCAAGGAGGAGGAAGGUGGGGACGACGUCAGGUCAUCAUGGCCCUUAUGCCUAGGGCGACACACGUGCUACAAUGGGGUGUACAGUUUGAUGCAAUACCGCGAGGUGGAGCAAAUCACCAAAACAUCUCUCAGUUCGGAUUGGAGUCUGCAACUCGACUCCAUGAAGCUGGAAUCACUAGUAAUCGUGGAUCAGCCAUGCCACGGUGAAUACGUUCCCGGGUCU